UGACAACACCAAACAGGGUGGGAUACUGCCACAGCUACUGGCCAGGAGGGAGGCAGUGAGGAAUGCUGCAGAGAACGUCGCUAGGCGGGAGCAAGACACUCAAAUGAGCAUGGCACGGAUGGAGAGGAUGGCGCACCUGUCGGAGGACCAGCGCGAGUUGAUGUCCAAGCAAAUCAUACAGGCCAUCUCAGAGAUGAUGAACGAGUGUUAGGACCGGGACUACCAAGGAUGGGUAGAUUUUGGACGGCGGAGUGCAGAGUAGAGACGUACCACAACCCAACUGAGGAACGUCUGCCUGCACUGGCGUUACUCAGGAAUCCAUCCCUAUUUGAAAUAUAUUGUAUAUAAUCAUUGGCUUACGUCAUGACUUUUAAUCCAAGUGUCAUAAUAAACACGUUUGCAGUA